AGUGAACGCUGGCGGUAGGCCUAACACAUGCAAGUCGAACGGCAGCACAGUAAGAGCUUGCUCUUACGGGUGGCGAGUGGCGGACGGGUGCGGAAUACAUCGGAAUCUACUUUUUCGUGGGGGAUAACGUAGGGACACUUACGCUAAUACCGCAUACGACCUACGGGUGAAAGCAGGGGAUCUUCGGCCCUUGCGCGAUUGAAUGAGCCGAUGUCGGAUUAGCUAGUUGGCGGGGUAAAGGCCCACCAAGGCGACGAUCCGUAGCUGGUCUGAGAGGAUGAUCAGCCACACUGGAACUGAGACACGGUCCAGACUCCUACGGGAGGCAGCAGUGGGGAAUAUUGGACAAUGGGCGCAAGCCUGAUCCAGCCAUACCGCGUGGGUGAAGAAGGCCUUCGGGUUGUAAAGCCCUUUUGUUGGGAAAGAAAAGCAGCAGGUUAAUACCCCGCUGUUCUGACGGUACCCAAAGAAUAAGCACCGGCUAACUUCGUG
rnacentral:rRNA from 1 species